rnacentral:rRNA from 1 species
CUGGCGACCGGCGCACGGGUGAGUAACACGUAUCCAACCUGCCGAUAACUCGGGGAUAGCCUUUCGAAAGAAAGAUUAAUACCCGAUGGCAUAAUUAGACCGCAUGGUUUGAUUAUUAAAGAAUUUCGGUUAUCGAUGGGGAUGCGUUCCAUUAGGCAGUUGGUGAGGUAACGGCUCACCAAACCUUCGAUGGAUAGGGGUUCUGAGAGGAAGGUCCCCCACAUUGGAACUGAGACACGGUCCAG